UAAAUCUACUUGUUUUGUGAGGGCUGCUUCUGUUCUGGCAAUGGGUGCCAAGGUGAGAGAGAGGAUGUGAGUACCAAGCGUACCGAGAUGAGAGAUCUCUCAGCUGAAGGGGCUGAGCAUCUAUUAACGUAGCAGAAAUAAUGGAGAGACAGCCCAGGAAGCUUCAUUCAGCAUUGACAAGGAGCUUUCUAUGCCAGUAGAAACUGUAUCCCCUCAUGGAUCUAAGAGCAAAACAGAAAGAGAAAGAAGAAUGAAGAAUGAAUUGGCGAUUUUACUGGGAAUAAUAUAGUUUCGUGUGAUGGAAAUUUCUCAAGACACGGGAGAUGGUUCUACAUUUAACAUGAACAAAAGGGCUCAUGUUUACAGUACUCCCUUCCCACAGUCUCCAUAUUGUCAAGCACAGAUGCUGUGUCUAAAUAAAGGGCUGAUGCUGUGAUGGUUUAUAUAUGCUCGCCCCAGGGAGUGGCACUGUUAGAAGCUGUGGCCCUGUUGGAAUAGGUGUAUCACUGUGGGCUUUAAGACCCUCAUCCUAGCUGCCUGGAAGUCAGUAUUCUGCUAGCUGCCUUCAGAUGAAGAUGUAUGUAGAACUCUCAGCUCUUCCUACACCAUGCCUGCCUGGAUGCUGCCAUGUUCCUGCCUUGAUGAUAAUGGACUGAACCUCUGAACCUGUAAACCAGCCCCAAUUAAAUGUUGUCCU